rnacentral:rRNA from 1 species
UACAGAGGGUGCAAGCGUUAAUCGGAAUGACUGGGCGUAAAGGGCGUGUAGGUGGAUACUUAAGUUAACUGUGAAAGCCCUCGGCUUAACCGGGGAAAGUCGGUUAAUACUGAGUAUCUAGAGUCUGGGAGAGGGAAGUGGAAUUUCCGGUGUAGCGGUGAAAUGCGUAGAUAUCGGAAAGAACACCAGCGGCGAAGGCGGCUUCCUGGCCCAAGACUGACACUGAGGCGCGAAGGCGUGGGUAGCAAAC